UAGAGUUUGAUCCUGGCUCAGAACGAACGCUGGCGGCAGGCUUAACACAUGCAAGUCGAGCGCCCCGCAAGGGGAGCGGCAGACGGGUGAGUAACGCGUGGGAAUCUACCCAGCUCUACGGAACAACUCCGGGAAACUGGAGCUAAUACCGUAUACGUCCUUCGGGAGAAAGAUUUAUCGGAGUUGGAUGAGCCCGCGUUGGAUUAGCUAGUUGGUGUGGUAAUGGCCUACCAAGGCGACGAUCCAUAGCUGGUCUGAGAGGAUGAUCAGCCACACUGGGACUGAGACACGGCCCAGACUCCUACGGGAGGCAGCAGUGGGGAAUAUUGGACAAUGGGCGAAAGCCUGAUCCAGCCAUGCCGCGUGAGUGAUGAAGGCCCUAGGGUUGUAAAGCUCUUUCACCGGUGAAGAUAAUGACGGUAACCGGAGAAGAAGCCCCGGCUAACUUCGUGCCAGCAGCCCCGGUCAA
rnacentral:rRNA from 1 species